rnacentral:rRNA from 1 species
UGAGGAAUAUUGGUCAAUGGGCGAGAGCCUGAACCAGCCAAGUCGCGUGAAGGAUGACUGUCUUAUGGAUUGUAAACUUCUUUUAUACGGGAAUAACAAGAGUCACGUGUGGCUCCCUGCAUGUACCGUAUGAAUAAGCAUCGGCUAACUCCGUGCCAGCAGCCGCGGUAAUACGGAGGAUGCGAGCGUUAUCCGGAUUUAUUGGGUUUAAAGGGUGCGUAGGCGGCCUGUUAAGUCAGCGGUGAAAUCUAGGAGCUUAACUCCUAAAUUGCCAUUGAUACUGGCGGGCUUGAGUGUAGAUGAGGUAGGCGGAAUGCGUGGUGUAGCGGUGGAAUGCAUAGAUAUCACGCAGAACUCCGAUUGCGAAGGCAGCUUACUAAGGUACAACUGACGCUGAAGCACGAAAGCGUGGGUAUCAAACAGGAUUAGAUACCCUGGUAGUCCACGCAGUAUACGAUGAUAACUGGGCGUAUGCGAUAUACAGUAUGCUCCUAAGCGAAAGCGUUAAGUUAUCCACCUGGGGAGUACGCCGGCNCGGUG